AACACCAGGGAGAAGACUCAGGCCCCUUAGUGGCCUGGCUGCCUCCGACAGCAGACCGGCCCCCCAGGAAGGACCUGGCCCAGGUCAUGGGGAACGUGAGGGUCCGGGUGAAGGGACUCAAAAAGCAGAGGGUUGAACCAGCAACCACCUCCCGGCUUGAAGAGGAGAAGCCUUUGGGCCGCCCUUCAGGCCGGAGCCCCUUCCCUGCCCUGGACCCAAGCCAGAUCCCUGAUGAACCUGGUGAGUUUGUGUGUGUGUGUGUAAAGGACCGGGUCCGGUUGAGGGGACUCAGAAAACGGAAGGUUGAACACUUACCACCGCCCUGCCGGAUCAGGAGGAUGUGAAGCCUUUGGGCCGCCCUUCACGCCGGAACCCCUUCAGACGAAUUAAGAUGGCCUGGGCAGAAACCAAGACUGGCAUCGCCACGACGCCCCUCUAAACACCCCUGAACAGCAAGAUCUCAUCAUUGAGGCUGAGGAGGAAGGUGAAGCCACACAGCAGGCUGAGGGGAAGGGCCUCAGGCCUCGGUUCAACCAGUGGCUGAACCUCAGGAUGAAGGACCUGUCAACGUUUGCUGCCCGGUUCCAGUGAGUGGCGUUUGUCCUGUAAAAAGAAAAAGAAAGAAAAAAAAAUAGCAUUAAAAAAACAUAACGGCACCAAAAAAUGUAUUACGGCACCAUUGUACAGACAACGUAUGUACGUCAAACAUCUGAUGGCACCCGACCAAGUCCACAUCGAUGUGACAUCACACAGGAGUGAAACCCCAGCUUUGUCUGAGCCCGGGUGAAUUUAAACAAAGUAGUCAAGCAUCUGAUGGGACUCAACCAAGUCCUCAUCGGUGUUACAUCACACUGAGUUGUGUAAUGCUUUGUUUGAAUUCACCUGACCAAGCUGUGGUGUCACUCCAGUGUGAUGUCACAUCGAUGUGGACUUGCUCGGGUCACAUCCAAUGUUGGACGUACAUACUUUGUCUCAAUUCACCUGGGCCCAACUGCCAAUUCAUGUAAAUAAAAUCAAAUACAAAUGUUUGCCGAAA